CAGGGAGUCGGGGAACCGGGUUCGAGUCCCCGCUCUGCCCCUCCCCGCGGUGCAAUCUCAGGCCCGCCACUUACCCUCUCUGGGCCUCCGUUUCCUCCUCUGUACAUCGACGACAAGGUGUCUGCUGCCCCGCGGGGCUACUACGAGGACAGAAUGGGCCACCGGCCUGGAAGGGGCGCGGGGGCACCGUGGGGUGCUGGAACGGCUUCGGGACUGAUGACUGAGGCCUGCACAGACACAGGACGAGGGGGACAGAACCAGAAAGGGGGGAGACAGGAUGAAUGGAGCGUUGCCGUUCCCCCAAUUCCUCCCUGUCCAGAACAUGGAUUUACUGUCUCAGACACAAAUCGUUUUCUUGGAGAAGACUGUUUGUUUAAAAGCGGGAGAGAAAUCCCUCCCUGGGAAGCCACCAGCUCCAGACUUUUUCCAGAUUCAUACCCGGUUUCCCUGUGAGAUGACAGGGACGUGUCUCCUGACUCCGUUGUAUUGUACUCUCCCAAGCUCUGCGCACAGUAAGUGCUCAAUAAAUACCACUGGCUUUA